rnacentral:rRNA from 1 species
UACGUAGGAGGCAAGCGUUAUCCGGAAUGACUGGGCGUAAAGGGUGCGUAGGUGGUUUGACAAGUUGGUAGCGCAACUCCGGGGCUCAACCUCGGCACUACUACCAAAACUGUUGAACUUGAGUGCAGGAGGGGCAAAUGGAAUUCCUAGUGUAGCGGUGGAAUGCGUAGAUAUUAGGAGGAACACCAGUGGCGAAGGCGACCUGCUAGAACAUAACUGACGCUGAUGCGCGAAAGCGUGGGGAGCAAACAGG